ensembl:lncRNA
AAGUAGCUAUGGAAGGCCCCUGCUGUGCUGGGGGACCUGGUGCUCUUAUCAGCCUUCCACGUAUCCUGCCUCCUGACACGUAAAUCUUCCCAGCUUGCUAAUAGAUGAAAGACUAAAUAGAUAAAUAAUGCUGAAAACAUCAGUAUGAAUGAGUGGCAUGUGCUAGCCUGCGUUUUACUGCCGCUCUGGUCAGCCCUGCCUGGAGCUAGUGCAGUUUUGCCUCUGCUCCAAGUUGGAUUCCUCCGUAACCUGAGAAAGGCUAACCCAAAUGGAACCAGCUGAGGGGAGGGUAACAUUAUUUACAAGAUGAAAGCUUUCUGACUUGAUUAGCCUCCUAGUUAAUGACAUCUGUUGCUAAAUGUGGACUGAAAGAAGUAAUGUGGCAUAUGUUAGGUUAUGGGGAUACCAGUGGGGCCUAAUGCUGUGUAUAGCAGUGAACAGGUCCUGCAUCUUUAGGGGGGUUGUCUUAAACUAUCUGUGUUUUGGCUUACCAGAGUUUAGGGAGGUGACUUAACUUUUCCUGCGUGCUUUGUUGUUGCAUGUAAAAGAGCAUGCUUCAGUGUUAACUUGCAAUUUAUUUUGGUAUUUUUUUGUAAUCUUUAACCCAUGGGAUGAUUAUUGUUUUUGUUUUCUAAGAGAACAGUGGAUGGGAAAGAGUUAAAAAGUGUGGCAUGCAUAACUGAAUUACGUGACCUAAAACAAGGAAACAAACGAUACAAACAGUAGCUGUUUGUUCGAGGAAGGAUCAAAUUAAGAAAGAAAUGAAGACAGUUCUCUUUUCUUCCCUUUUUUUUCUUUCUUUUUUUUUCCCUAGAAUGGAAGGCCCUUCUCAUAUAAAAGUACUGAGCUGAGAGAGGUUACUUAUACCGAUGUGAUGCUGAGGUUAAAUGUGAUUUUGUUGUUGCUGUUUCCUUCAAGAAUAGCCUCUGAAUAUGUUACAGUUCUAAACUGGGGAGCUCUGACACUUGGUAAAGGAAGGCUGGGGAGUAAUUAUCAAAGUUAGCAUUUGGGUUAAGAAGAAACGAUUUUUUGUGUGUGAAAAACUGGGAUGUCUGCAAGGUUAAUGUUUUACUGUUUAUUUCCCUGAAGCUUUAAUACAUACCUGUGGAUAAAGCUCAGAAAACUGCAAAAUCCAGAAAACUAGAAACAAAAAACAUCUAGCUCUUAUUUUAAAUACCUUAGAUUUUAUUUUGCUCUUGUUUUGCCUACCAUUACUAGACUGAUCACAGCUGUGUAGGUACAUGCACACAUUGUUUCUAUUUCAUUUGAUCUAUUUUUAAAUGUAGGGGCUCUUCGUAUUUAAUACGCAUUACUGUGCUUGCAGUCUUAAUACUUCAAAACCUUAGUGACCUUGGUUCACCCUCUUGUACCUUGCACGUUACCAUGCAGUCUUUAAUUAUAUGAUAACAUGCUAUUUUUCCCCCUAGAAGGAAAUCCUUGCAUUACAUAGGUGUCAUUUAAUCAGUAUACAGUUAUCUGUUAUUUUUAAUUGUACUGUGUGUGGUUCCAGAACUUCUGUACUGUAUAAUUUUCAAACCUUGCUAUGAUUAGAAAUUUGCCUUUGUUCCUUAAUGUAUUUUUAAGCAUCAGGUUUUCUCAGUCUUUGUGACAAAAGGAACCCUGUCUGUGACUCCCAAACCUUCUGCAGAAACAUUUUCUAUGAGCUCUCCUUGCCAGCCCUUUGCUGGGCUGCUGGGUUUUGUCUCAGGAGCUGCAGAACCCCGGGGUCCUUGCUGCAAGAAGAUUCUUUCAUCAAGAAGAGAGUGAGAGCAAUGGCUCUUCAUGAGAACUGUAGGAAGUGGAAGGUUUGUGGGUCUAGGCAUCUUGCUUUUUCUUUUCCUCUUUCCUUUUUCCAUUUUUCUUGGUAUCUAGCUUCCCAUGGAGCCAUUUUUAUCAUACCCCAGCUUCCUGCGCACCUCUUGUCCCAUCCCUCUGUCAUGUAGGUUUGCCUUGUCUUUAUUUGCUUUCCUUCUUGUUUAAGUAAUUUCUGAUGUCUGCUAGUUUCUUUUCCAAGUUCACUAUCCAUUCUUGCGCAGUAUCAUUCUUCCUUAGUUUCAUAUACUUUCCCAGAUUACAAUACCAUUCUGGCUCCGGAUUUGCACCCCUGCUUCCCCAUGGCACGUCCACGCAGGUGGACGCUGACAGUGGUGUAUCUCCUGUCCCUGGUGCUGUUCUGGAAAGUUUCAUGCAGCCCUGGGACAGCAGGCAACCGUCUGCCAAAUUGCAUCCUUUCUGGAGUGCAUUUAUGCAUUGAAAUUGUACAUUUCAAGAACUGUAUGUUUCAAACAGCUUAAAUUGCGUAGUAGAAGACAGUCUGGAAUUUAUGAGCGUUUUUAGUGCACAUAUCGUGGUGUUAGCAUGAACACUGGAUUUUCUCAUCCAUAAACUGAGAUGGCACUUAUUGAUUUGUGCUAUUUAUUUCAACAUGUGAAAGAAACCAGAAUUACACGUUACAAGUCCUCAAUUUUUUUUUAUUGUUAAUCACAUAGAAGGGAGCAAAAAUGUAUCAGAGAAAUACAGCAUUAAUAAAAUAGACUGGUUAUGCAAGCUUCAGAAGUAUGAGUGAGGCUUACAUCUGUUCCUUGGGUUUUAUCUUUUUAAACAGUACGUGGAAAAUUCUAGUAGCUCGAUAGAAUUUUAUAUUGUGCAAUAAAAUGAUAGAUGUGUUUAGUCCCGUGUGCCAUCUCCAGCUGCAAGCCGUGUAAUGUAGGCUUUGAGAACUUUCUGAGCUGUAUGAUUCUGAGACUCGUGAUACAUCUCGGUACAAAACCAGGCCUCACCAUCCAACCUUCAGAAUUUAUAAGGCUGUUUAAUUAUGCUGAACUAUGUAACAUAUGACUUGGCGUUGCAUACACAGUCCUUCCCUAAAUAGUUUUUCUUAGAACUGUGUCAUUACUAAUGUUUUGACUGCAAUUAUUCUAAGACAGAAAAGGAGCAGUGUUAGGCUGCAUCAUUUUUCUCUCUGGAGCAGCUUGCAGUCCAGAUUUGAGGGACAGCUUUUCCAGAGUUUUCCUUAAAACUGAGGCCAUUUGUCAUUCUCACAGCCCCUGUGUUUUUCUGGGAGCAGUCCAUUCUCUCUCAUCUUCUUCUAUGAAAUGGUAUUUUUUUGUGGAAGUGCAAGUUAAUUUCUGUAGUGCAAGAUGCAGAGCAGUUAAGCUAUCUUCAAUUUAAGAAAGGAAAAAAAAACAUACUAAAUUUGAAAGUUAAUUCUACAAAAUUUUUGAAAAAAUAUAUUUCUAUAAUAUUACUCUAUAAUAUCACUACUUUUAAGUACAUUUUAGAGCCAAACUUUAGUAUAUGUUUUAAAUAUAAUAGAUUUAAUAAGGCAUUCUCUGCUUUAGCAGGAUACUUUUUACCUCCUCUGCCAACUGCUUCACGUUUCACCAGAGCAGUGGGUUUGCUUUCAGUGAUCCCCUUUUCUUCUCCCCAGAUGAAAUACAGGCUGGUGUUUCAUUGAAACACACUGUAAACAAAUAUUCCCCACUGCAAAGGCUUUCCGUUUUGUAACACUGGACUAAGAGAGCUCCCCAGCACAUGUAAAUACCUUCAGACAUUUUUUUUUUGUUAGUAAAUGAACCAGACUCAGUGGUUUAAUUGUAAUCUCAAUGUAAAAUCUGUAGGUAAUGCAAAAAUUUAUGAUACUGAGGUAACUCUCUCUCUCAGCAGUUUUAUAGAACAACUGUUUAAACUCAUCUUAUUAAAUAUAUACUUACCAAUGCUAGAUGUACAUGCACAUAGAUUCUGAAUUAGUUGCCUGGGAGCUAGCUUCAUACGGUCCCAGUGACCUGCACGUCAUCAGGUUUUGGUUUCUUUUAUUAUUUCUGUCCAUGAUGUUAGAUAGUUUUACAAAUGAUGAUCCUUAUAUUUUCCUGUAGUGUUUGGAAAAUUUAAGUCACUUCAUCUUUGUUUGUCCUGCAAGAGCUGUGUGUUUAAAAUAACAGCUGAAACAUAUGCUGCCAUUUUUUGGUGAAUUUUACAGAAUAUUUAAAGGAGCAAUGCAUUUGGAGCAUAGUAUCUAAGAUAAACAGAAUUAUUCAUUUCCACUGUAACAACAAACCGUAGUCAGAAAUUUGAUUUUGCUUUCAUGAUUCAGUCUGAAACAACGGUGUGCUGAAAAAGAAACUCAAGGGUAACAAAUCUUAAAUUCAGCUGUUAGUGGAAACCUAGGAAACCACUGUUUUUCUUGAUGGGAAUUUGGCCUGAAAGGUUGUAGAGGUUGGAUUUUAGACUUGGUUCUGGGUUGGUUUUUUUUUCCUCUCCAUUUUGCUAUUCUGUUUUGUUUCAUUUUCCCCAUACUGUAAACUCACAUCCUUUGUAGGCUUGAGGGCUUGCUAUCAUAGUGAAAGUCUAUAGAAACGAUUAAGCAAAACUCAGAAGCAAAGAGGCAUUUCUCUGCUGUGGUUCUUCAUCAGCCAGCUGGAUCCCGUUCAGUGGCUGCAUGUUCCAGGCACAAGUGUCCCUGCAGCAGAGGCCUGGCAGGGUGGCUCCUACCUCCUGUGCCCCUUUCAGUGCAGGAGAGCACUCAGGAGCUUGCCCAGCUCUUGCAGUAAUUUGGUUCUGUGAAGGGCCUGGUGAGAAGCGAUGUAGCACUCUCAGGUACACUUUGUGUACAGCCCUGGUUUGGGUUUGGCAUGCUCAUUUUGGGUCAGCAAUGUUUUCCUAGUUCUCACCUGGCUUCGUACCACCAGCUUCUGCAAUUCAGGUAGUAUAGCUGGAGCUGCAGCUGCUUUCCUGCAGUGGGAAAUAAGAGCUUUGAUAUUAAUUCUUGCUUUUGCUAUUUAGUCUUGAAACAAGGUGUCUUCGUUUUUCAGACUCAUAACUGGCUUCCCUUUCUGCUAAAGGGAAGCAUCUACCCAGAUUGAUUUCUCCUGAUCUGAGUGAAUCUCACAAACAUCUUUUGUCCCUUCUCCUUGAAGAAUCCCCGUUCAGUGAAGGGCUUUUAAAUUAAAACUAGUGAUGUUUUUAAAUUUUAACUCAUCCAAGAUCUCUGAAGAAGAGAGACACUCUUCCUCUGAAAACCUGUGAUGGUGCUUCAGAAUUGUCAUUCAAAACAGGAUUUUUUAACAUAGUUUUCAGAAUGCAGUUAAAGAGAUAUCAGUGAGAUAAGAUUUUCACCAAGCUGGUUCAAUAAGAGUCACAGUUCACUUUAACUUUUAGUCUUCCUAACUGAGAUUGCAUCACUUCAGAGGAUUCAUUAAGUUUUGAUCUGAUUUUUAUCAUCAGCAUAUGAAAGUCAGUAGAUGCCAUUCAGAGAAAAGAAAUGCUUGAGCUGAAAAGAACUGGUAAACUGAACUUUCAAUUUGAAGGGCAGCAUUUAAAAAAAACCAACCUUUUUGACCAACUUCAUCCAUUUUAGUUCUUCAUACAGGAAGUAGAACUAUCCAGGACAUGAAUCCCAGCAUGAAUCUACCAAGGUAGCUGUAAUGUGUUUCAGAUGCACAUUGUUUAGGGAAGAAAAUGCUAUUAUUUUUAUGCAAUUGACACAAAUAUUUGUUGUUGGAUCUUAUAUAUGAUUUGAAAAUAGUUUAUGAGAAGGUAGAUCAUAAUGGUUCUCAUUUAAUUGCUGUUGUGAAAAAAAGGAACAGGAAAUUGAGAAGGAAACCUGGCUACGGGUGUGCCCUCAAUAAAAGGCAGAAGAGAAAAAACUAAUAUUGUAUAUUAUAACGUAUGGAAUUUGACCUCACUUAGAUAAUUUGGUUUUUGCUUACACUACAAAUUCUUGCUUAGAAGUUUUAUACAGUUUAUUAUGUAGACACUGAUUCAGGUAUGUAUCUUUUUUUCUUUAUGCUUUAAUUUUAUUUCAACCAUACUUUUAAGAGUUUGAGUGGCAGAAAGUGAUUUUUUAUAGCAUAGAUUGUUUAGUAAAUGAACAGCUGACAGCAAGCAUAGUGGCAGCCUGGAAUAAUCUGAGUUGUAGGUGUUCCGGCUGGAAGAUGCUCAUUGUGCUGAAUGAAGGUCUCAUGUAGGAACUUUGAGUUUAUUUUGUAUUCUGACAGUAGGGAAUUAAAUAAAUACCCAAGACACAUAUGCUUCAGAUGUUGUAUAUGCAUCCCUUGAAGAAGAAGUUUUACAUAGUCUGAAAGGAAAUUUAGUGCAUAGAUGCUGGCAUUAGUCAAAGUUGGCGGCUUCUUCAUUCUGUAGAUGUGAAAAUUUGAUGUCUUCCAGAACAGAACACCUUCUGGUACGUACUGCCCAAAUGAAAGCUCUGUAAUGUAGAAACAACUCCAAAUGACAGUCAUAAUUUUUUAGGAUGGAGAGAAAGCACUUGGUCAUUUAUUGCAUGUCAGUGUUUGGCCCCUUUAUGGACUUCUAAAGCCCAAAUAUUCAGGAGAUCUCGCUGGAUUUUUUGAGUACCAUGUAUGUGGUAUGAAAUUUCACUGCUGGAGAAAGGCAGAGAACUUUGCCUGAUGAAAACUUAAUGUCAGUAUUUCUGUUAACUUGCAGGAGUUCAGCUAUCUGCUGCUAGCUGGGAAAGGUGAUGAAUUCAGCACUAACUGAGAUGAUACUGAUACAUUAUUUUACCAGUAUGGAAGAUUAAUCAGGAGAUCGUUCUACUCAAAUAACAUUCUUAUAGUUAUAAUACCACUGACAGUGUAAAAGUCUUAAUAAACUGACUUUAACCAUUACAUCAGCAGAAAUUUAUGCACAUCCCUUGAUAAAGUUAGUGUUUAUUAAAAUGGUUGAGAUCCUUGAAAAGCAAUCAUUGGGAAUGAGUGAUGCCAGGGAAAAGCUCUGUUCUUCUGCAGAGGCACUUCAAAC